GAUGAACGCUAGCGACAGGCUUAACACAUGCAAGUCAGGGGCAGCGAAGGCGUAGCAAUACGCCUGUCGGCGACCGGCGCACUGGUGAGUAACACGUAUGCGACCUGCCCCCUACAGGGGUAUAACCCGUAGAAAUGCGGACUAAUCCCCCAGUAGUCCUGGGUGCUGCAUGGCAUUCAGGGGAAAGAUCCGUCGCUUGCGGAUGGGGAUGCGUCUGAUUAGUUAGUCGGCGGGGUAACGGCCCACCGAGACGACGAUCAGUAGGGGUUCUGAGAGGAAAGUCCCCCACAUUGGAACUGAGACACGGUCCAAACUCCUACGGGAGGCAGCAGUGAGGAAUAUUGGUCAAUGGGCGGAAGCCUGAACCAGCCAAGUAGCGUGCAGGACGACGGCCCUAUGGGUUGUAAACUGCUUUUAUGCGGGGAUAAAGUGGGCCACGUGUGGCCUUUUGCAGGUACCGCAUGAAUAAGGACCGGCUAAUUCCGUG
rnacentral:rRNA from 1 species